CCGUGCCGGGGUUUGAACCCCGGACAUCUGACAUGCAAGGCGAGCGUGUUACCACUAACCCACCAAUGCACG
rnacentral:tRNA from 11 species